UCCGGCGUUUGGCUGGGCCUUUGUGUCUCGCUCCCACCAGAUCCUGGGAUCCGUCUCUGCUCUUCUGCGUUCUCCACCUCGGGAGCCCUUGGUGACUCUGUGACGGCCUCUGUUGCCCUGUGAUCUGCAGGUGCGGAGAGACGCACAGCUAAGAUGUCAGCACAUCCUGGAAGCUGGGAAAGGAGACGGGGUUUCACCAUGGUCUUGAUCUCCUGACCUCAUGAUCCACCUGCCUUGGCCUCCCAAAGUGCUGGGAUUACAAGCGUGAGCCACCGUGCCCGGCCGCAAGUAUAAUGUUUUGCUAAGUUCUGUGAGUAGCUGUAUCAUUAUUUAACUUGAGAAGAUUAUGAGAGCCCCCAAUUUAUAGGAACUGGCUCAGAAGUAUAGAUGAGACCCUAGGAAUUGUGACUGGGAUCUGCAGUGGUGGCAGUGUUGUGGGACUGAGCCCUGAACUUGUAGGGUCUACGCUGACUCAAGGAGGUAUCAGAAUUGAGUUAUUGGACAACCAGUUGGUGUUGGAGAAUUGGUUGCUGUUCAGCAAACUCCACACAUUUGUUGUCAGAAAAAGAAUAUCACAGAUAUUUGAGCUGGAGGGAGACUCUUGGUUUCUCUGGGAAGGGGAACUCUGUUCUGCACACAGGCUGUCACAAUGCACAUUGUCCUGUCAUUCCAGAUCUCUUCCCAGGGUGAAAGGGGACUGAGGGCUUGGAAGAAAGGAGUUCUGAAAACAGACUCCCUGCCCUCAACCUGCUACCACCAAUGAUUUCCACCUACUGAUGAACAUACCCACUAGGAAUGGGCGUGGCCAGAACCUUCACAAAACAAGAGGACUUGACCUGAGGAAUUACUCUAUAGUGGCUUUACCUCUAAAAUUUCUCACCAAAGAAUUACACAAGUGCCUAGAGGUCUCCUGGAUUAUCCCUACCACAAACCCUGAACUUGAAGCAGCAACCUGGUCUCUCUAUCACCCUGGGCUUGUGGACUACCAAUCAUAAUCUCAUCCACCUGCAUGGACACAGGAAUAUGUCAGAACAUAGCCCUGCCUGAAUCAGUAUCUAUAGCAUAAACCAGUCUUUCCAGCUACCAUGCACUGUCCCCCACUCACAGGUCAUUGAUAGCACCUUGCCCUCUUCUGUCUUUUACUUUUCUACAAACCCUUUCUGAUGUGCACAGUGUGCCUCAGGUGCCUGAAUCCAGCACCUACUGGGAGUCAGAUGCCCAUGAGUUCAAGAUUAUGGCCCUAGACCUAGCUGUCGUAAGAACAGAUAAAAAUUAGAAAUACAGGCCGGGCGCGGUGGCUCAAGCCUGUAAUCCCAGCACUUUGGGAGGCUGAGGCAGGCGGAUCACGAGGUCAGGAGAUCGAGACAAUCCUGGCUAAUCCGGUGAAACCUCGUCUCUACUAAAAAUACAAAAAAAUGAGUCGGGCAUGGUGCCAGGCACCUGUAGUCCCAGCUACUUGGGAGGCUGAGGCAGGAGAAUGGCGUGAACCCGGGAGGCAGAGCUUGCAGUGAGCCGAGAUUGCGCCACUGCACUCCAGCCUGGGCGACAGAGCAAGACUCUGUCUUAAAAAAAAAAAAAAAAAAAAAUUAGAAAUACAGGCUUCAUCCUUGAAAAUAAAAGAUUUUUCUCUUUCCUUUUCUUAAAGCAUUUACUUUAGAAAACUUUUAUAUUUAUUUAUUUUUAUGUUUUUUUUGAGACAGAGUCUUGCUCUGUCACCCAGGCUGGAGUGCAGUGGCACAAUCUCGGCUUACUGCAACCUCCACCUCCUGGGCUCAAGCAGUUCUCCUGCCUUAUCCUCCCAAGUAGCUGAGAUAACAGGCGUGCGCUACAAUGCCUGGCUAAUUGUUUUUUUAUUUUUUAUUUUUUUUUGAGAUGUAGUUUCGCUCUCGUCCCCCAGGCUGAAGUGCAGUGGUGUGAUCUCGGCUCACUGCAACCCCCACCUCCCCGGUUCAAGCGAUUCUUCUGCCUUAACCUCCUGAGUAGCUGGGAUUACAGGCGCAUGCCACCACGGCCAGCUAAUUUUGUAUUUUUUGUAGAGAUGGGUUUCUCCCAUGUUGGUCAGGCUGGUCUCGAGCUCCCGACCUCAGGUGAUCCGCCUGCCUUGGACUCCCAGAGUGCUGGGAUUAUAGGCAUGAGACAUCACGCCUGGCCAUAAUUUUUUGUACUUUUAGUAGAGAUGGAAUUUCACCAUGUUGGCUGGGCUGGUCUCGAACUCCUGACCUCAGGUAAUGCACUUGCCUCAGACUCCAAAAGUCCUGGGAUUACAAGUGUGAGCCACUGUACCUGGCCAGAAAGCUUUUAUAUAAUUCUUUUCUGCCUACUUGAAAUAUAUACAAAUUAUUCUAACUGCUAAAUAGGGUUUUUGUCAGUAUUUUUGACUCAGGACUGUCUGUUUUUAGAACCUAGGAAUCAUUUAUUUAAAAUGUAGAUAGCAAAGAAAAUAGAAUUUUAUUCCAUUUUCUGUUGGAAGAUAGGAGUUUACCUUCAGCACAGUCCUGGUUCCAGGUUUCAAAACUACCUCUCAUGAAGACGUAAGUUUAUUUUUCCUUUAAUUAUAGGCAAUUAGCAACCAGAGAAGACCUCCAAUUUUUAGGUGAAUUUAAGAUAAACUGUAUGUGACCAAUGGUGCUGUCAGUUUUUCCACUUGAGAACUAAUUAUGGUGGCUAUUUGCAAUUGUCUUUGCAAUCUCUUAGCAGUUUGCUUAUAAUGCCCUUCACAUUCUGGAGUAAUUCUGUAAUAAUUUUUUUUUUCUGUUCUCCAAUUGUGUAUAAUUUUUCUGAGGCUUCAGAUAAUUCUGUUUAUAAUUAUGUUUCUCUAAGUUUGUCCAGAAUUACUAAACAGGAUAUGAACACAUACUGUGCCCACCAUGCUACAUUCUGUAUGGACCAGUCACAACACACAAUUGUGCAAUUGGGCUUCCAUUCACAACACACAAUUGUGCAGCAAAGUGCACACUGCCCUCAAAGUCUGCAGGCAGAAUGGCCUUUCUUUGUAUUUGGGAUCUACAAUCAUUAAUAGCACACUUUUACCAGAUUUCUACAAAAAUUACUAUAGGGCAACAAUUAACUAUUCCAGCUCUGUCUUUCUAUCCCCCUGGCAUCUUCAGAUGCGAAACUCUUUCAAAUGCCAUUUGGCCUGAAAACUCAACCAGGUUCACACAUUUGCAUUGAGUAAGCCUGAGAAUCUAAACAUUUUGCUUAUUCUCUUGUCCAAAUGCCUAUGCAUGCGACAAGGGUGCCUUUGGCUUGCUUUUCUGCUCUCCUAAACCUAAACCUGCAGUUCCAAAUUUUGAGUGCAGCUAAUGGGGUUCUCCAUUCUGUGUUGGAGCAAUCUUCAUGUGGGGAUUUCUCCUCUACUUUUCCUCUCCUCACUGUAACACAAUAUGGAGCUAAGUUAAUGGUACCUAGAAUCCACACGUAAGGGCUGAAAUCCACCUGGGAUUCACAAGACAGGGCCAGGCUUUGGAUCUUGUCCAGUGAAAUUUUGAGAUUGUGUGAGGAGCUCCUGGUAUAAACCGAAUCUGGUGGCAGAAUCUGUAAGUGUAAAGAAGCACAUUAGCCGAGGGAAGGCAGGGCCACAACUGUCCAGAGCCAUGAAUGCAUGAAUGCAACCCCAUCUCCUAUGUGUCAAUUGUAUUACUGGAGAAAGUUUUUGUUGUUGUUGUUUUUUAUUUAUUUGUUUAUGAGACAGAGUCUCUGUCUGUUGCCAGGCUGGAGUGCAGUGGCGUGACCUCGGCUCACUGCAAUCUCUGCCUCCCGGGUUCAAGUGAUUCUCCUGCCUCAGCCUCCCAAGUAGCUGGGAUUACAGGCUCUCGUUUCCUGAUACUUGGGUGAAGAAAAAGUAGGAGGUCUGGAGGCUCAAACUGAUAGGUCUUGCCAUCUCUAAGCUGGACCUGGUGACCUUUUUUGAGGGAAAGAAAGAGCCCUGGACUGUGAAGAGUGAGGAGACCAUAGCUGCACAACCAGUCCAGAUGUAUAAUCUCAUCCCUGAACAUGUCUGACGGUGUGAUUAUGACAUGUGACUUUAUCCAGCAACAGAGUGAGUUGAUGCUCCCGCCUGAGCCCAGCCCACAGAAAGGAUUGUGACAUAUCGUUGGACCCAGAAUUGAGGGGGCAUUGUGUCAUAUCGCUGGGCCCCACACAUAGGUUAUGUGACUCUUCUGCCUGUGCCCUGCCCAUGUGGCCCAUUGUGACAUACUGUUGGGUCCAAAACCUAGGUGAUGUAACUCUACUGCUUAGGCCCUGCCUACAGAGGACAUUGUGACAUAUCCCUGCAUCCAUCACACAGGUAAUGCAGCUCUCUUCUGCUUGGCCCCUACUCACAGAAAGGAUUUUGACGUAUCACAGGGCUCAGCACCUAGCUAACAUGACUUUUCUCCUCUUCCUAGGUUUUUGCCCACAGGGGAUAUUGUGACAUGUCACUGGGCCUAAUACUAAGGUGACAGUACUCUUGUCAUGGCACUGCCCUCAGCAGGCGUGGUGAUAUAUUACUGGGCCCAGAACAAAUGUGAUAUGAGUCUCCUGCCUGGACCCUGCCUACAAGGUGCAUUGUGACAUAUCUGGGCCCUUUGACUAUUUUAUUUUAUUUACUGUAUUAUAUUUUAUUUAUUUUAAUUUUAUUUUUGAGACAGAAUCUCACUCUGUCACCUAGGAUGGAGUGCAGUGGCAUGAUCUCUGCUCACUUCAACCUUUGCCUCCUGGGUUCAAGUGAUUCUUCUGCCUCAGCCUCCUAAGUAGCUGAGACUACAGGUGUGUGCCACCAUGUCUGACUGAUUUUUGUGUUUUUAGUAGAGACAAGAUAUCACCCUGUUGGCUAGGCUGAUAUCAAACUCCUGACCUCAGCCAGUCCACCCGCCUUGACCUCCCAAUGUGCUGAGAUUACAGGUGUGAACCAUUGCUCUUGGCACCCUUUGACUAUUUUAUGUGACUCUUCUCUCUUACCUGGUUGUUGAUCAAAUGGGCCCAGCACCAAGGUGAUAUGACUCUCCUCUCCUGCCUGGGCCUUGCCCACAGAAGAGAGAGCGACUUACUGCUGAAUUUAGCAUACAGGUGAUAUGAUUCUUCUGCUAACUCCCAGAAGUCACUGUAACAUAUAUCUGGGCCCAUUGCUGUGGUUGUGUGACUCUCUUCUCCCUGGGACCUGUCCACAGUAGGGGUUGUGACAUAUUGCUUGGCAAAGCACCUACAUUAUGUGACUUUUUAUUUAUUUAUUUUUUUUAAGACAGAGUUUCGCUCUUGUUGCCCAGGCUGGAGUGCAAUACCACGAUCUUGGCUCAGCUGGGAUUACAAGCAUGUACCACCGCGCCUGGCAAAUUUUUUUUAUAUUUUCAGUAGAGAUGGGAUUUCUCCAUGUUAGUCAGGCUGGUCUCGAACUCCCAACCUCAGGUGAUCUGCCUGCCUUGGCCUCCCAAAGUACUGGGAUUCCAGGCAUGAGCCACUGCACCUAGCUUCGAUAUGACUGUCUUCUUAUGCCAGGGCCCUGCCGACUGGAGUGAUUUUGACACAUAGCUGGGGCCAGCUCAGAUGUUAUGUGACUCCACACUUCUUCCUGAGCCCUAUCUAUGAGGCGCACUGUGUCUUAUCUCUGAGACCAUUAAUUAGGUAAUGUAACUUUUUUUUUUUUGAGACAGAGUCUGGCUCUGUCGCCCUGGCUGGAGUGCAGUGGUGCGAUCUUGGUUCACUGCAACUUCCGCCUCCUGGGUUCAAGUGAUUCACCUGCCUCAGCCUCCUGAGUAGCUGGGAUUAUAGGCACACAUCAACACAGCCAGCUAAUUUUUGUAUUUUUAGUAGAGACGGAGUUUCACCAUGUUGGCCAGGCUGGUCUCGAACUCCUGACCUCAAGUGAUCCACCUGCCUUGGCCUCCCAAAGUGCUGGGAUUACAGGCAUGGGCCACCACACCUGGCUGAUGUAACUCUUUUGUUUGGACUAUCUUCUUGGGGUAUUGUGAUAUAUUGCUGGGCCCAGAAUCUAGGUGAUGUGACUCUGCUGUUCCAUCUCUGCACAAAAAGGGAUUGUGACAUACCACUGCGUCAAGAACCUAGAUGAGGUGACUCUCCUCUCCACCCUGGGACCUGCACACAUUGUGUACUAAGACAUAUCACUGAGUCUUAACACGUAGGUAAUGCAACUCUCCUGCAUGGGCCCUGCCCAUAGGGGUAUUAUGAAAUACCUUUCUAUUAAUCACCUAGGUGAUGCGACACUUCUCUUCUACCUGGGAACUGCCAAAACAAGUAUUGGUACGUAUCACUGGGCCCAGCACAUAGGUGAUGUGACUCUUUUCUCAUGCAUGGGCUCUGCACACUGGGGUGUUUGUUACAUAUAGUUGGGCCUAAACCCUAUGUCAUGUGAUUCUUUUAUUUUCCUGAGCUGUACUCACAGAGAGCAUUUUGACAUAUUUUUGGGCCCAUAAUUUAGAUGAUGUGACUCUCUUGGGUGGGCCCUCCCUGGAGUGGGUAUUGUGACAUAUUGCUGAGCCCAUUAUAUAGGUGAUGUGACUCUCUUGCAUGGGCCCUCCACAUAAGGGGUAGUGUGACAUAUUGCUGAGCCCAGUACAUAGGUGAUGUGACUCAUAGUUCUCUGGUUUGGGCUUUGCCCAAGCAGGGAUUGUGAUGUGUUGCUGGACUCACCACCUAUGUGUUGUGACUCUCCUCUUCUGCCUAAGCCCUGCGUACAUUGUGUGUUGUGACAUGCCUGGAUUCAACACCUAGGUGAUACAACUUUAUGGCAUGGGAACCACCCACAGAAGUAUUGUAUCAUCUUUCCAUCACUUAGGUGAUACGAUUCUUUUAUUUUUCCUGUUUCUGGCAUAUUUUGGGUAUAGUGACAUCAUUGAGUUCAACACCCAUGAAAUGGGAGGCUUCUGCCUAGUGGCCUUGUGACAUAUCUUUGUAUCCAUUAUCUAGGAGAUUUAACUCUCCUUUUUGCCUGCACCCUGACCACUGGGAAGGUUGUGGCAAAUCACCGGUCUCAGCAAUCAGGUGAUGUGAUUUUCCUGCCUGGUCCUUGCCCGCAGAUGAUUGUAACAUAUCACUGGGGCUAGCAUCCAGGUGAUGUGACUCUGCUGACUGUAUUCUGCUUUCAAGAGGAGAUUGUAACAUAUCCCUAAUCAAGCACCCAGGUGGUGUGACACUUCUGCCCUAUCCCUGCCCUCAGAGAUGAUUGUGACAUAUCAUUGCCCCAAAAGGCAGGUGAUGUGAGUCUUUUGGUCAAUCCCUCUUCACUGGUGGGAUUGUGAUGCAUAUCGUAUCCAAACUUACAGGGGCAAUAUGACUCUCAUACCUCUAAACAACCAAUAGCAGAUACACUAUCUCUCAUAGCCGGGGUCAGGAAAAUGAGUAAUGUCUUGGGUUUCUUCUUUGUAUGAAGGUCAUAAAGAAUUAACACUCUGUCACAUGCUGUGUAAAGUCAUCGAGGUACAGGGAACGUCCUAACAGAACUCAGCACACAGGGAGGUUGUGACACUCAUAUGCAUAGCCUGACAACAGUAAAGACUGUCAUCCUUCCACAUAAACACAGCUCACAGUUGAGGUUCUGAAUCUCAUACCCAGAUGCAGUCGAAAGUUAGAAAAUUAAAUCUCAUGUUAAUUCGAUCCAUAGAGAGGUUAGUGUCUCUGAGACCAAGAUUCAGCACACCUGUGAGUCAGUGACUUCAUUAAAAUGACAAUUUGCAGGAAGGAUUGAAGUUCUCAUGCACAAAUCCAGACCAUCAUUGAGAUUGUCACUCAGGUACUUACACCCAACAUACAGAGGGUAUUAUGUCUCAUACCUAGAACUAAGAAGUGUGUGAAAUUGUUAAUCUCAUACCUCGACCUUAAUUCAGGUGUGUUUGUGACAUACACCUUUUUUAAGCACCUAAGUGAUUUGACUCUCCUGCCUGGGCCCAACAGAUGGGAUUGUGCCAUAUUUCUGGACCCAGCAUUUAGGUGAUGUGAGUCUAUUCUCUUGUCUUAGUGCUUUCCACAGAGAACACUGGACAUAUCACAGGGCCUAGUGCCCAGGUGAUAUGACUUUCCUCUACUUCUUAGGCUUUUCCUAAGGAGGGAUUGUAAUAUAUUGCUGGGUCAGAACCUAGGUCGUGUGACUCUCCUCUGCUGCCUGGUUCCUGUUGUACAUUGUGUAUUGUGACAUGUGGCUUGUUCUAACACCUCGGUGAUAUGAAUCUCCUGCAUGUGCCCUGCCCACAGAGGUAUUGUAACAUAUCUUUUUAUUCAUCACCUAGAUGAUGUAACUCUUUUUCUGCCUGGGCCCUGCCAAAAGGGAGGAUUGCAGCAUAUCACUGGGCCCAGCACCUAGGUGAUGUGAUCCUGUUUUCCCUGUGCCUCAAAUAUUUUGGAUAUUGUAAAAUAUUACUAGGCCCACUACCUAUGAGAUUGCAUGCUCCUGCCUGGGCUCUGCCCACAGGGACCUUGUGACAUAUAUCUGCGUCCAUGACAUAAAAGGUGACACUUCUUGCCUGUACCAUGCCCUGCACAGGAAAGAUUGUGACAUAUCCCUGGAACCAGACACCAGGUGAUAUGGCUUUUCUGCCUGUGUCUUGCCCCCAGGGAGCAUUGUGACAUAGUGCUUAGCUCAGCACCCAGGUGAUGUGACUCUGUUGCCUGUGCUGUGCUUUCAGGAGAGAAUCGUAACAUAUCCCUGGCUGAGCACCCAGGUGAUGUGACGCUCCUGCUUGUUUCCUUCCCUCAGGGAAGAUUGUGAGAUACCUUGGCUGAAAUCCCAGGUUUAGUUGUAACAUUUUUCGCUGCCCAGCACCCAAGUAAUCUGACUCUCUUGCCUAAGACCAGCCCACAGAUGGAAUAGUGACAUAUAGCUGAACCCACAACUGAGGGGAUGUGCUUCUAUUUUUCUGCAUUGGUGCUGCUCACAGAGGACAUUGUGACAUAUCGCUGGACCUUACACUUAAAUGAUGUGAGUCUCCUCCGCUGCCUUGGCAUUGCCCACAGAAGGCAUUAGGACAUUUCUGUGAGCCCUGCAUCCAGAUUAUGUGACUCUCCUGCCUGUUCCCUGACCACAUAAGCAAUUGUGACAUAUUGCUGGGUUCGACACCCUGGUAAUGUAACUCUACUGCCAAAAAGGAGCAUUAUGACAUAUAUUUCCACUCAUUACCCAGGUGAUGUGACUCUCUUCUCCUGCCUGGUCCCUGCUCACAGAGGGAAUUGUGACAUAUCCCUUGGCUCAGUACCAAACGAUUGUGAUUCUUCUUCCAUCAUAAGUUCUGCUGGCAAGGGAGAUUGAGACAUAUUGUGGAGCUCUAUGCCAAUGUGACAUUACGUUUUGCCUUGGCCUGGACCUCAAAAGGCAUUGUGACAUAUUACUGGGCCCAGCAACAUGGUGACAUGAGUCUCCUGUAUGGACCAUGAUAGCAGAGCAUUGUGAUGUAUCUUUAAGAGCAUCAGCUUUUUGAUGUGACUCUCCUUUUCUACCAAGGUUUCCCCACAAUGAGAGAUUGUGACAUAUCUUCUGGCCCAGGAAUCAGGUGAUGUGUUUCUCCUGCCUGAGCUUUGCUCACAGGGAGCAUUGUGACAUAUCACUCGUCUCAGCACCCAGGUGAUGUGACUCUACUGUCUGCCCUGGUUUCAAGAGGAAAUUUAACAUAUCCCUGACUGAGCACCCAAGUUUUAAUUCUUCUGCCUGGUGCCUUCUCUCAGAGAAGAUUGUGACAUAUCCCUGGCCUAUUACCGAAACGAUGUAACUCUCCUGUUCACUCCCUAUCCACAGGGGAGAUUGUGACAUAUAUCUUUUUUCAGAUCAUAGGUGCGAUAUUGGCUCUCAUAUCUGAAAUCAGUCAAUAGGAGACAUACUAUCUCUCAUAUAUGGGCUUAGGUACAUGGGUAAGGUUCUCACUCUCCUCUUUUUAGGAAGGUCAGAGAAAAUUACACUCUCUCACAUGUUGUAUAAAGCCCUCAAGUGGUACACAGAGUGUCACAAUGGCUCUAGAAAGCAGAUGGGAUUGUGAUUUAUGUAUGCACACUUUGCCAGUUGUUAAGAUUGUCACCCUCAUCUAUGGACAAAGCCUACUGGUGAGGUCCUAAAUCUUACAUGUGGAUGCAGUGCAGAGUUGAAAUUGUGACUGUCAUGUGUGAACAUCAGGCAACAGCUGAGGUGAUGACUCAUUAGUAAGCCUAGCUUAUAGGCAGGUGACAACUCUCCUAUCUGGACCCAGUCAUUAUAGAGGUGUUAACUCUCAUAUCUGGGCAUAGAGCCACAGGUAAGAUCAUGGGUCCGUAGCAGCACAAAUGUCUCCCAGUCACAAAAGAUUGCGACUCUCAUAGGAACCUUAUAAAUUCCUCAGUUGGUACAGAGAGUGUUCUAACUAGGCUCAUUGUACAGUUGAGGUUUUGACACUCAUGCACACCCAGCCGACAGUAAAGAUUGUCCUCUUUUCACAUGAAUACAAUCAACUGGAUGUUCUGAAUCUCAUAUCCAGAGACAGUUGCAAGUUGGAAAAUUUAUAAGUGAAUCCAGUCCAAAGUUAAGUUGGUGACUUUCAGACCAAUAUUGAAUACACUGUUAGUCUGUGAUUCCACUAAGGUGACACAGCCAGUAAGAGGGACUGAGUCUCUCAUUCAGUGAUUCAAUUCAUUCUAAAAAUGUGACUUGUGUACUUGGAUUUAACAUACAGGAGGUGUUGACUCUCAUACCAAGAAUUGGAGUAUAUACAGGAUUGUUAGUCUCAUCCUUGGUCUUUCCUUCAGGUGCGGUUUUGACACACUUCUGCCCAGCAGCUGAGUAUUGUGAUUCUUCAGAAUUGGCCCAGCCUACAGAUAGGAUUGUGCCACACUGCUGGACCCAGCACCUAGAUGAUGUAACUAUUCUCCUGCCUUGGUGCUACUCAAAAAAGACAUUAACAUAUCUCAGAGCCUUGCACCCAGAAGGCAUUGAGAUACACAGCUGGGCUUAGCACUAAGAAGAUGUGAGUCCUCUGCCUGAAGCCUGACCACAGGGAGCAUUGUGACCUAUUUCUUGACCCAUUACAAUCUCUCCUGUGGGCAAAGCUGAGGUGGAAUUGUGACAUAAAACUUGGCCAAGCACACAGAUGUAAUGGUGUGCUGAAUCCAGCACCUCGGUGAUUUGACUCUCUUUUUUUGUGGGAGGGAUCCUGCAAAUUUUGGAUAUUGUCAAUUAUUGCUGAAUCCUGCACCUAUGUUACGUGACUCUCCCAAAUGUGCCUUACAUGUUGUGUCACAAUAUAUCACAUUAGAAAUUGUUAAAUAUUGUUGAGUUCAACACCUGGGUGAUGGAUGUAACUUUUUUUCUGGGCCUGCCUACAGGGGACCUUGUGACGUAACUCAAUGCCCAUCACCAUGGUACUGUUACUCUCUUCUGCCUGAUCUCUGCUCACAGAGAAAUUGUGACACAUCACUGGCCUAGCAUCUGGGUGAUGUGACUCUCCUCUUUUUUUCAGGCUCCACAUAUUUGGGUGUUGUGACAUAUUGCUGAACUCAAUACCUAAGAGAUGGGAGUCUCCUACCUAGGCCCUUCCUACAGGGGGCAUUGUGACAUAUCUCUGCAUUCCUCAUCCAGGAGAUGUGACUCUCCUUUUCUGCCUACACCCUGCCUACACAGAAAGUUGUGGCAUAUUGCUGUGGUCAGCAACCAUACGAUGUGUUUCUCCUGCCUGGGUCUUUAUUACAGGAAAGAUGAAUGACAUAUUACUGGGCCCAGCAUCCAGAUGAUGUGACUCUUCUUCUAUUGGUCCCUGCUUACAGGGAAAUUGUAGCAUAUUGCUACACCCAGCACCUAGCUUAUGUGACUCUUCUUUUAGGUUUGCCUUCAGGGAACAUUGUGACAUAUUGCUGGGCCCUGCACUGACAAUUUGUGACUCUUCUGCCUGUGAUUUGCCCACUUGGGGCAUUGUGACGUAUUGCUGGGUUUAACACUCAGGUGAUGUAACUUUUAAGCCUAGGCCUUGCCUACAAGAGGCAUUUUGAAAUGUUUUUCUGGCUGGGCACAGUGGCUCAUGUCUGUAAUCCCAGCACUUUAGGAGGCCAAGGUGGGCGGAUCACAAAGUCAGGAGUUCGAGACCAGCCUGGUCAACAUGGUGAAAACCCGUCUCUACUAAAAAAAAACAAAAAUCAGCCAGGUGUCGUGAUUGGUGCCUGUAGUCCCAGCUACUCAGGAGGCUGAGACAGGAUAAUCGCUUGAACCCAGGAGGUGGAGGUUGCAGUGAGCUAAGAUCGCACCACUGCACUCCAUCCUGGGCAACAGAGUGAGACUCCAUCUCCAAAAAAUAAAAAAAAAAAUACAAAUGUCUUUGCACCAAUCCCACAGGUGAUAUGACUCUUGUGUUACUUGGUCUCUGCUCCCAGGAAGAAUUGUGACCUUUCACAGUGUAUAGCUAUUUUUUUUUUUUUAUUUCUUAGUUUUUUCCUGCAGGAAAGAUUGUGAAAUAUUACUGAACUAAGCACCAAAGGGAUAUAUUUUUUUUCUUGGACCUGCCCACAUAAGACAUUGUGACAUAUUGCUGGGCCCUACACCUAGAUGAUGUGAGUUUUCUGCCCGUCAACUAUUUUAUGUGACUCUCCUCUCUUCACUGUGUCCAUAGGUUAGCUUUUAAUAUAUAUACCUUUGGGCCUGGGUCGUGCUAACAGAAGCAAGAGUGACUUAUUUCUGGGUCCAGCACACAGGGUAUAUGAUUCUUCUGCUUGGUUCCUGCCCAAGUGGUCAUUGUGACAUAUCUCUGGGUCAGUUGCCUAAAUGACAGGACUCUUUUUAUCUUUCUGGAGCAGUCCACAGUAGGAAAUUUGACAUAUCGCUGGGCCCAGCACAUAUCUGAUGUGACUCUCCUCUCAUGCCAAGGCCUUGCCUACUGUAGUGAUUGUGCCAUAUAGCUAGGCCCAGCUCCUACGUUAUCUGACUCCUGUUUUCUUCCUGAGCCCUAUGAAAAGAUAGCAUUAUUAAAUAUUUCUGGGUCUUUUACCUAGGUGAUGUGACUUUUCUUUCUGACUUGUCCUCUCAGAGGGUAUUGUGACAUGUUGCUGAGUGCAGCAUUUAGAUGAUGCGACCCUUCCUCUACUGCUUGGACUCUGACCAAAAAGGGAUUAUGAUGUAUCACUGGGCCCAGCACCUACGUAAUGGGACUCUUUUUCCCUUGCCUGGGCCCUACAAACAUUUUGCAUUGUGACAUGUAGAUGGGUCUGCCACCCAGGUAAUGUGAGUCUUCACAUAAGCCCUGGCCACAAGAGUAUUAUGAAAUAACUUUUUAUUCAUCACCUAGGUAAUGAUGUGACUCUUCGUCAGCCUCUACCCUGCCACAAGGGAAUUGUGUUGUGUCAGUGGGUCCAGCACCUAGAUGAUGUAACUCAUCUUUUGGCUGGACCUUUCAUAUUUUACAUAUUGUUACAUAUCACUGCAUCUGACAUUAGGGGAUGAGAGGCUUCUGCCUGGGCCCUGCCCACAGGUGGCCUCGUGACAUGUUUUGGCAUCCAUCACCUAAGAAAUGUGGCUGUCCUCACCUACAUGCACCAUGCACAAAGAAAAGAUUGUGACAUAUCACUGGGAUCAGCCAACAGGUAUGGUGUCUAUCCUCUCAGGAUGUUGCUCACAGAGAGCGUUGUAACAUAUCACUGGGUCCAGCACCCAGGUGAUGUGACUUGUGGCCUAUGCCUAUCUAGUCUUUUUUUUUUUUUUUUUUUGAGGCAGAGUCUCACUCUGUUACCCAGGUUGGAGUGCAGCGAUGUGAUCUUGGCUCACUGCAACUUCUGCCUCCUGGUUCAAGCAGUUCUCCUGCCUUAGCCUCCCAAGUAGCUGGGAUUACAGGCAUGCAUUACCACUCCGUUCUAAUUUUUGUAUUUUUAGUAGAGGUGGAGUUUCACCAUGUUGGCCAAGCUGGUCUCGAACUCCUGACCUCAAGUGAUCUACCCGCCUUGGCCUCUCAAAGUGCUGAUAUUACAGGCGUGAGCCACUGUGCCACACCUUAUUACCCUCCUCUUUCAAAUCAUCCCUGUGUAUUUUGGGUAUUAGGACAUAUUUCUGGGUCAAACCAAAUGAGUGAAAGGCUCUUGCCUGGGCCCUGCCCACAAGAGGCCUUGUGACACAUCUCUGCAUCCACUGCUUUGGAGGUGUGACUCUCCUCUUCCAUCUGCACCAUGCCAACACAGAAAAUUGUGACAAACCUCUGGGUUCAGCAACCAGGUGUGUACCCAGGUCUUACCUGCAGAGAAAAUUGUGACAUAUAGCUUGGCCCAGUACCCAAGUAAUGUGACUUUGUUUUCUGUGCCUUGCUUUCAGGAGAGAAUUGUAACAUAACCCUGGUCAGGCAACCAGGUGAUAUGACUUUGUCUGAUCCCUGCCCUGGAAAAAUUGUGACAUAUUUCUGACCCAGCACCCAGGUGAUGUUACUCUCCUGUUUUCUUUCUACUCACAGUUUGGGUUGUGACAUAUACCUUUGCCAAGCUCACAGUUGUGAUGAUGACACUAAUACCACAAACCAGCCAAAAGGAGAGUUACUGGCACUUGUAACUAUACUUGGAGAAAUGGGUAAAUUCCUGGGUCUUCUCUAGAUAAUAACUUCAUAAAGGAUUACUUUUCUUUCACAUUUUAUAUAAAGUCUUUGGAUGGUACAGAGAGUGUCAUCACAAGACCAAGCACACAGGUGAGACUGUGUUUCUCAUAUGCACAACCUACCAAAUGUUAGCAUUGUCACCCUGACACAUGGACAGUGCCCACUGGAGAGAUCCUGAAUUUCACAGGUGCAUGCAGUCCACAGUAAAAAUUCUGUUACAUGUGAUCAUGCCACUACCGUUAACAUGGUGACUCAUUUCAAAAUCCAGCUCAUAGGCAGGUGAAGAGUCUCUUCUCGGGACCCAGCCAUUUGGAGAGAUGUUGACUCAAAUACAUUGACUUAGGUUCACAGGUAUGAUUAUGAAUCCAUACCAGGAAGAAAGUUUCAGAGAAAAUUGUGACUUUCAUGAAUACUGUAUAAAGACCUCAGGUGGUACAGAGAGUUUUAUAAAGAGGCCCAGAACACAGGUGACAUUGUGACACUUAUAUGCACACCCAGCCAACAGUAAAGAUUGUCAUCUUUCCACAUGAAUGCAGCUCACGGUUGAAGUUCUGAUUCUCAUACCUGGAGGUAGCCAAAAGCUGGAAAAUUGACUCUCAUACAUGGAUUUGGGCUAUAUGUGGGUUGAUGACUCUCAUACCAAGAUUCAGCAUACCGAUGAGGCUGUGACUCCACUAAAGGGACACAGUCCACAGCAUAGAUUGAGGCUCUUAUGCAUGUAUUCAGUCCACCUUUGAGAUUGUAACUGAUGUACUCUGACUCAACAUACAAAAGGUGUUGACUCCAAUCCUAGAAAUGGGACAUGUGCAGGAUUGUUAAUUUUAUCCCUACAUUUUCCUGCAACUGUUAUUGCAACAUACACCUCUGGCCAGCACCUGAGUAAUUUGAUUCUCCUCCCUGGUGCCCAGCCCACAGAUUAGAUCAUGACACAUCACUGGACCCAGCACCUAGGUGGUGUGACUGUACAUUUGCCUCAGCACUGCCCACAGGGAGGCAUUGUGACAUAUGGCUGAGCCCCACACCUUGGUUAUGUGACUCUCAUUCCUGUGCCCUGCCAUUAUGGGUCAUUGUCACAUAUUGCUAUGUCCAGCCUCCAGGUGAUGUAACUCUCCUUGCUGGGUCCUGCCUACAGGAAGCAUUACAACCUAUCUCUGUACCAAUCACCAAGGUAAUGUGACUCUUAUUCUACGAGGUCCCUGCACACAUAAAUAAUUUUUUCUAUUACUGGGCCCAGCAUCUAGCUGAAGUGACUUUUCUCUUCUAAGUAGGUUCUGCUCUCAAUGUAGAUUGUGACAUACUGCUGGUCUAAACAAGGUGAUGUGAGCCUUCUGUCCAAACCCUGCCCAUAGCAAGCACAGUGACAUAUCUGUGAAUCCAUCAUCUUUGUGCUGUGACUCUUACUUGGGUUUGGCCUAUAGGAGAGAUUGUGACAUAUCUCUGGGGCCAGCACUUAGAUGAUGUGAAUCUUCUUUCCUACCACGGCCAUGCUCCCAUAAAAGAGCAUGACUUAUCCCUGGGAUAAGCUCACAGGAUAUGUCAUUCUUCUAUCUGGCCCCUGUCCACAGGGGUUAUUGUGACAUAUCUCUGGGCCCAUUACCUAGAUGAUGUGACUCUACACUUCUUUCUGGGGCCUGUCCACAGGAUUGUGAUGUAUCACUUGGCCCAGCACUUAUGUGAUGUGACUCUUCUCAUGCUUUGGCUCUGCCCACUGGAGUGAUUGUGAUACGUAGCUGGGUCCAGCUCUUAGGUUAUGCAAUCUAUCUUUUCUCUGUGAGCCCUUCCCACAGGGGGCAUUGUGACAUAUCUCUGAUCCUCUCACUUUGAUGAUGUGAAUUUUCUGCCAGGGCUGUUUUCUCAGAGGGUAUUGUGACAUUUCUGGACCCAGAACCUAGAUGAUGUGACUCUUCUAUUGCUUGGGCUCUGCCCAAAAUGCAACUCAUUUUUGUGACUGGUAUCUGCAUACAUGUAUUGUGAUGUGUGGCUGGAACCAGCACCUGUAUAAUAUGAGUCUUCUGCAUGGACUCUUUUCAGGAGGGCAUUAUGAAAUAUCAUUUUGUUUAUCACUUACGUGUUGUGACUCUCUUCUUAUGACUGGAACCUGCCACAAAGGGCAAUUGCAACAUAUCACUUUACCCAGCACCUAAGUGAUGUGAUUCUCUUUUUUGGGGGGAGGGGGUCUCACAUAUUUUGAGCAUUGUGAUAUAUUGCUGGGCCCAACACCUAGGGAAUAGAAUGCUCCUUUCUUGACCCUGCCCAUGGGGGCUUUGUGACAUAUCUCUAUUGGGGGAACCAGCCCCCAAUAUUUCAAUGUAGGUUCUUUUCUAUUUUCCCUAAGUGUUGGCUGGUCUGAGAAAUAAAAGAGUACAAAAGAAAGAAAUUUUACAGCUGGGUCUCCGGGGGUGACAUCACAUGUCAGCAGGUUCCAUGAUGCCCCCGAGCUGAAAAACCAGCAAGUUUUUAUUAGCAAUUUUCGAAGGGGAAGGAGUGUACGAAUAGGGUGUGGGUCACAGAGAUCACAUGCUUUAAAGGCAAUAAAAUAUCACAAGGCAAAUGGAGGCAGAGCAAGAUCACAAGGCCAGAGUGAAAUUAGAAUUACUAAUGAGGUUCCAUGUCCCGCUGUGCACGCAUUGUCAUUGAUAAACAUCUUAACAGGAAACAGGGUUCAAAAGCAGAGAACUGGUCUGACUAGAAUUCACCAGGCUGUAAUUUCCUAAUCCUAGCAAGCCUGGGGGCGCUGCAGGAGACCAGGGUGUAUUUUAUCCCUUAUCUUCAACUGCAUAAGACAGACACUCCCAGAGUGGUUAUUUUAGAGGCCUCCCCCUGGGAAUGCAUUAUUUUCCCAGGGCUGUUCCUUGCUGAGAAAAAGAAUUCAGUGAUAUUUCGCUUUUGCAAAAAGAGAAAUAUGACUCUGUUCUGCCCGGCCCUACAGGCAGUCGGGCCUUAUGGUUAUCUCCCUUGUUCCCUGAAAAUCACUGUUAUUGUGUUCUUUUAGGAUGCCCAGAUUUCAUAUUGUUCAAACACACAUGUUUUACAAACAAUUUGUACAGAUAACACAAUCAUCAGAGGGUCCUGAGGUGACAUACAUCCUCAGUUUAUGAAGAUGACAGGAUUAAGAGAUUAAAGUAAAGACAGGCAUAGGAAAUUAUAAGAAUAUUGAUUGGGGAAGUGAUAAAUGUCCAUGAAAUCUUCACAAUUUCUGUUCAGAGAUUGCAGUAAAGACAGGCAAAAGAAAUUAUAAAAGUAUUAAUUUGGGGAACUAAUAAAUGUCCAUGAAAUCUUCACAAUUUAUAUUCUUCUGCUGUGGCUUCAGCCAGUCCCUCCGUUCGGGGUCCCUGACUUCCUGCAACAUAUCUCUGCAUCCAUGACCUAAAUAUAUGAUUCCUCUAUUCUGCCUGCACCCAGCUUACAGGGAAGAUUAUGACAUAUUGCUAAGUAAAGGGUAUCUUGUGCUGAUCUCCUAUUUUGUUCUGUGACUAAGAAUGCCUAACCUGGGGAUGCAGCCCAGUAGGUCUCAGCCUCAUUUCACCUCAACACUAUUCAAGAUGGAGUUGCCCUGGUUUGAAUGCCUCUGACAUAGAGAUCCACUAUAAAAUUAUGAAAAAAAUUUAUUUGAAUUGCAGUGAAUAAGAAAUGGAAGACCUAGGAUGGGCUAUUCUGAAAGAUUUAGCAAUAUUUAUAUUUGUCUUUUUAAGUUUUCCAUUAAUACUUCUGAAUAGAUACAUUGUUUUAUUCUGUCAAGUUUAAACAGAUACGCUUGAUAAUAAAAGGAGUUCCCACUGUGAAAGAAAAAUAAAUCUCCUGAUGCCAAAAUUACAAAUCCAAUAGAAAAGUCAAGCUGGAAACUACAUCAGGCAAACCUGUUUCCUAUUUUAUUCUUAAAUAAGAUAGCUACACAGAUAAAAAUCUACAUACCUACCUCACAAUUUGCUCAGAAGGAAAUUCCUAGUGAAUAGAUGACAGACAGAACUCAAAGUCAUCCCUCUGAGGCUCACCUGAGACAAAUGCAGAUCUGUUUGUUUCCUCUGCCUUAUUGUUAAUUUUAAAAUGCAGAUUCACUGAGCCAGGCUAAAUUGUGUAUUCAGUGGAAGACUUAUCAAGGGCUCAAAUAAAUUUAUUAUUUUUUCUCUUAUCUACUUAUGACGUGGAAGCCCCAACCUCAAGUUUUCCUGUCUUACCUGACUACACCAAUGUACAUCUUAAACAUGUUGAUUGAUAUCUCAUGACUUUCUAAAAUGUAUUAGAAAACUGUACCCCAACCACCUUGGGCACAUGUCAUCAGGACCUCCUGAGGCUGUGUCACAGGCUCCUACUUAACCUUGGCAGAAUAAACUUUCCAAAUUUAUUGA